UCCUCAAAAGUACCAAAAAUUCCAUACAAAAAAAUAAAAAAAAUCUAUAAGAGCACAUCACCUAGUAAUGAUAUAUGGUACCAUCCUCACAAUGAACUCGUGUUAGGCAUGAACUCAUAUAGCAAACCUGCCUGAUCUUCUUCAUCCCCAAGACUAUUGCUUCCCUAGUGGCUAUUGUCCUCCCUGUUACUACCAGCUUUUUUCUUACUUUCACUUUCCUACUUAGUUUGUUUUGGUUUUGGGAAUUUUUUUUUUGUACUUUUAAUUUGAGGGUUUGACAUGAAUAGAGCAUUGCCAGAGAUGUUACAAUGUUCGGACAUGACAGUGCUCGAGAGACAAAGGGCUCGCUUGAAAUGGCAACAGGAACAGCUUCAGCAACAACAACUACAACAACAAGAACAACAGCAAAGUUAUUUCAGUGAGCUAAGUGGGGUGUUUUCGAGCCAACCCAGCCAUGUAGAAGGCUUUCAGGGUGGUUUGAUGAGCGGUGAUUCGGUGCUAGGUGACAUGGUGAUGACUCGGCAACUGAAGCCUGACCCUGGUUUGGAGACUGCCUGGCCUGAGUUGGUGAAGGUUGACAUGCCUGACAUGGGGUUUGGGCCAUGUGGGUACGGUAAUGGGCCCAGUUUUGAUAUGAAUUACGCCAUUUCAAGGACUUCUAGCUGCCCGCCAGCUGUGGCGGCGGCUGUAGCAGGGGAGGUGGUGGAGGUCAAGGGCAAGGAGUCAGUUGUCUCUGAGAAGAUUGGUUCAGCCGUCGGAAGAGAAAGCUUCAAGAAGAGGAAAGUUGAUAAGCUGCAAAACUUAAAGGUUGUUGCGGAAGAUGACUCCAAGAGGAUCAAGGCGUGUGCAGAAGAGGGAGAGUCAAAAAUUACAGGGCCCAAUACCAACAAAAGCAGCAGCAACAACAAUAACAAUAAGAAGGAAUCAUCGACUGAUACUUCCAAGGAGAAUUCGAAGGUUUCUGAGGUUCAAAAGCCUGAUUAUAUUCACGUCCGGGCACGUCGUGGCCAAGCCACUGAUAGCCACAGCUUAGCUGAGAGAGUGAGAAGGGAAAAAAUCAGUGAAAGAAUGAAGUAUCUGCAAGAUUUAGUUCCGGGGUGCAACAAAAUCACAGGAAAAGCAGGAAUGCUUGAUGAAAUAAUCAAUUAUGUCCAAUCUCUUCAACGGCAAGUAGAGUUCCUAUCUAUGAAACUAGCUGCUGUAAAUCCAAGGCUUGACUUCAACGUUGAAAAUCUUUUUGCCAAAGAGGUGUUUCCCUCUUGUACGACUAAUUUUCCAACGGUUGGGAUGUCAUCAGAAAUGGCUAACCCUCCUUAUCUUCAGGUCAGUCCGGUACAACAUGUGGUUUCUUGUUGCGGGUUGGAAAUGGGAAUGAACACUCCUGAUAUGGCACCUCGAAGAACCAUCAGUGCCCCUGUGUCAAUCCCUGAUGCAUCGUUUCUCGACUCAUCCUGUUUCCCGAUCACGCGUUGCAAUGCAGCAAAUUCAACCCUCUGCAACAUGGGAUGUUGAAUUGCAAAAUCUUUACAAUGUGGCAUUUGACCAAGGACGAUCAACAUCGUUUCCGUCUCAGCCAUUUACAGGUUCCAUUGAAGCUAGCAAUCUAAAGAUGGAGAUGUGAAUCAGAAUAUCAGUCCUGAUUUAUUGACGAUUGAGUUAAUUCCAGAUGUCUCUGAUCCAGAUUCUUUUUUGCUUCUUUAAGUACAUAUGGUAUAUAUAUAUUUGUAUGUAUACUGGAAAGUAGUAUGAAUAAGAGCAAUACUAAUUAACUUCAAACUUUCUCUCU